UUGAAAGAAAACAAACUUUUAUUAAAUCAAUGAUAAUGGGUGCCAUACAAUGAAUUCAAGACUGAGCUUUUAUAGGCUCAUAAACAACAGUCUAAAGAAGCUAAUUGAGGGAAAUAAUCGAAAAAUAUAAAGAAUAUGGCCGUUGGAGCUUUGAUGACGAAAUCGGCCAAAUAAGGAAAUGUCUUGAGCUUUGUAUCUAGAGAGCUUGGGAAGAAAGGUGAGACUUCUUGGAACAUUCUGGGACGUGUGGAGAGUCUUCAAAACGCAGCAUCUUUGGUAGAUAAAGAGCCGUUGGUGGUUUAAAGCUCCUAGUGUGAAUGCGUCCAGAAAAGGAAAGUAGAAUUGUGAAAGGAUCCGCCUGAUCCUAUGGGUUCUGGUGCAUGGGAAGAAUUCUUCUAGAUGUCUAAGAGUCUCUCCUGGUCGCCAAUGAUAGUUUUGGAGUGAACCAAAUAUGGAAUGAUCCAUUUUUGGCAACAUAUGGCCCGCGGGUAAGGCCAAAUGAGUAACUCAUAAAACAACUCGAACCCGGGGUGAUUUAGCUCGCCCAUUCUUCAUAAAAUGUGCAUAAUAAUGGUGAAUGUCAAAUCUAGGUCGAGGAAAUGUGACGUUGGGUCGAUGAUAUUGUAGUUGGCUUGAUCCGGGUGGGUCUUCUUGGCGCUCGAGUUGAUUGGUUCGAUAGUUUUUGAUUCCGUCUCGCCCAAAUGUCUUGAAAUAUGUAACUUGAUGGUGAAUAUUCAAUAUGGGUCGGGAAAAGUCUUGAUCCGGUCGGUGGAUUUGAGUUUUGUGUGCUCCGGGUGAGUCAUUGUGGACCAACUUCAUUUCGGCAUGGUGAUUUAUGAUUCCAGCUGAAUCACUACUCUUCUUAGGAUAUAUUUCUUUGUAAAUUUCCAAUCCUAGGCCAGGUGCUUGAUCAGAACUUGAUUUGCGCCAAAAUUCUCCUUUUUGGUCCGGUUUGGUUUGGUUGAGGAUUGAACCGGCUGGUCUAUUUAACUCCGGAUCUGGUUUGGUUCCGAUGUCCACAUCAUACCCUCCCUCUUCAAAAAGUUUUGACCUCAAAACUGUUUCACCUGCACCAAGAGAAAACAAGUUAGGUUUCAUUCGCUUUUGUGAGUUUAGAUAGUUACCUCGGCUUUGAUUCGUUGGACAAUGUUGGGAUGAGUCGGGUGGUUUAUCCUUGUUUAUAAUGUGACAUUUAAAAACAUUUUCUUGAUGCUGGGACAAAUUUGUAUCCUUCUUCGUGAAAUCUCCUAUUCCACUCUUUAUUUCUCCAUGAAGUUCUCCUUGAAUCUUGAUAUGUUGAGGUGAAUCCGGUGGCUCCUCUUUGACCAGUACAGUGUCAAUGACACGUCUAGCAUAUCCUUUUGUUGGCGUGAGCAAAACUGACUCCAUAAUGCCUUGGUUAUGUUGUUCACUUGAGACUACGAUUUCUUUUGAUGGUACAUCUCCUUGGUAAUAGCAUUUCACCAUUGUACCUGCACCUCUAUAGACACUAAAAGGCAAGAACAAGUGCAUUAUACUUGAAAUUGAAAUUUUAAAAACAUAGAAUUGGAGACUACGAAUUAAUAUGAAAUGAUUCCCGUAUUUAUCAAAGUCUUGAAUCACACUUACUUGGAAGAUAUGGCAAUGAUUAUGCACGAAUUUCAUCUUAAUAAAAGCCUCUUUUUGGUUGAUAAAGCUCUGUUCUAGACCGUGGGGUGGUGGUUGUUCCUCUAGGAUAGCUUGGUUACCUUCGGCUUCUCGAAAACUUUGUUGUGACAAUGCUCUCGAGUGGUUCUCUUCCUUACCUAUACCUUUGUCAACUUCUUUUUGACAAAACAAGUGUAUUAUCAUAGAAUUUAAAGGUUUAAAAUCAGAAAGAUUCGGGUGAAGACUUACCUUCGGGAUAAUUUCAUGUUUUGUUUCCUUAGACAACAUGGUGUGUCGAUCUUGCUUUUGAUCCGUGGUAAAGACUUCUAUUUCUGGUUCUUUUCUUUCAACCAUGUAUUCCUCCUUAGUUUCUGGACCUGUUUCAAUUCCCUUGGACAAAGACAAGUGCAUGAUACUAGUAUUUAAAAUUUUUAAAUCUGUUUCAACUAGUUUUUCUUUUACCUUGGGAUUUUCUGUUUUUGGCUCCAUGAGGGUUACUACUCGUCUAGUUGGGCACUCCUUUGCUUUGUGUCCUCUGUUUUGACAUCGAUAACAAGUCACUUCAAAUAAAUUCAAAGUACUAGAAGACUUACCUUGAUUCGUUUUGCCUUGUGGUUCACAUAAAGACGUGAUGAUUGAGUUUUGUUGAAUCUCCUUCACUUGUACAGGUUUCUUAGCCUCUGAUUUCUUUGAUAAAGUGUUUGGGAACACUUUUAUUGGCUCAGGGAGAGGGAAAGCAUUCUUGUUCACCACUUUGGAGCUCGACUUUUGUUGAUUCUGCCUCUUUGAAUUCGUUGGUGUUACACCUUUGUCAUUGUGGUGAGCUUGGGCAGAAGCGUUCUUCACAAAUUCACCAUACAUGAGCUUUCUCAUCUCCUUCCAAGAGUAAGCUAGAUCCUUGAAGUGAAUACGUGUAGUCUCUAUCUCAUCCCACCAAUCAUAAGCUCCUCCGGUUAAAGCAUCUUCCGCAUAGGAUGUUUUCUUUUUCUCCGGGACGUGGUACCUUUCAAACCAGUCCAUUAAGGCUGCUUCCCACCGUAGGUAUGCUUCUGGUCCCUCCUUAUGACCUGAAAAAGUUAAAGGGUCUGAGCUAAUUUUCCCUCUCUUGCUAAGGUAGUUGUCUCUCGUCUUUGGUCGAGGUGAAAUUGAUGGAACUCGGUGUGACAAAAUUGUUUGGAGAGACUUCUCUUCACGAUGUGGGGAAUGGUAGUGUUGAUCCUCAUGGUAAUAUCCCUCACAGUCCUCAUAAUACCCUAAACUUGGUUGGCUCCAUUUGGUCGUUGCUUGAGGCAUGUAAGUGUAAGGCUCGACACGUUGACUAGAUGGAUAACAAUCAGGUGGCUCCGGCUCCAGUUCUUCACCAUCAGGUUCUUCUCCACAAUCAGAACUGGAAACACAUUCCUCAUACCACGUUUGUCUCCCAUAGUCAUUCUCCUCUUCUAUCAUGUCUUCGUACUCAUCCUCGUCUUGGUUCCAAUCACCUUCAUAGGAGUCAAUCUCUUCUUUCUCCAUAUAAUAGGACGCCAUUGCUCUGGUCCUUCUUAUUCGUUUGUCCUAAAACAAAGAAGAAGAAAGUGUAUCAACCUUUAGAUCAACAAAUAUGGCAAGAAAGAGUCAAGACACAAAAAUUAUGGAAAUUUGAUAUUUCUUUUUACUUUUAAAAAUAAAAUCGAAAAAUUCAAACAACAAAAGGAAAAAAAAUGAUUUAUAUUUUCUUUUUUUUUUUGAUUUAAUAAAAUAAAUUACGAAAAUUAAUUUAAAAUAAACAAGAAAGACAAUUUUUAUUGGAUUUUUCUUUUAAACCGAAAUUAAAAAUAAAUAAAAAAAAGAACACAAAUAAUAUUUUUUUUUUUUUGUUUUUAAAAUGAUACUGAAACAAAUUCAAAACACAAAAACAAAAGGAAGAAACAAAUUUUUAUUUUGGUUUUUGACUUAAUAAAAAUUAAAACAACAAAAACUGAAAAAUCGAAAAGAUAAAGGUUGGAUGAACACAACCUGGAUUUGAUAGGAGCUUUGAGCUCUGAUACCAGAUGAUAUAAGAUUGGAAUCCACCAAAUCUUAUUGAUCACAAGAUGUCAAGAGUUGAAAAGCUUUCACGCGGAAAUGGGCGUUGGUAGAGAUGGAGAUGGAGUUUGCGAUUGAUUCCACAAUCACACACGAACAAGAAGACUUGAUUCCACAAGUAAUCUGAUCCGUAAUCAAUAGAAAAGAAGUGAUUCCACACUUAGAUUCUAAAGAAAAGAACAAGAACAAUUCAAAGACUCUCUUUGAAAGAAAACAAACUUUUAUUAAAUCAAUGAUAAUGGGUGCCAUACAAUGAAUUCAAGACUGAGCUUUUAUAGGCUCAUAAACAACAGUCUAAAGAAGCUAAUUGAGGGAAAUAAUCGAAAAAUAUAAAGAAUAUGGCCGUUGGAGCUUUGAUGACGAAAUCGGCCAAAUAAGGAAAUGUCUUGAGCUUUGUAUCUAGAGAGCUUGGGAAGAAAGGUGAGACUUCUUGGAACAUUCUGGGACAUGUGGAGAGUCUUCAAAACGCAGCAUCUUUGGUAGAUAAAGAGCCGUUGGUGGUUUAAAGCUCCUAGUGUGAAUGCGUCCAGAAAAGGAAAGUAGAAUUGUGAAAGGAUCCGCCUGAUCCUAUGGGUUCUGGUGCAUGGGAAGAAUUCUUCUAGAUGUCUAAGAGUCUCUCCUGGUCGCCAAUGAUAGUUUUGGAGUGAACCAAAUAUGGAAUGAUCCAUUUUUGGCAACAUAUGGCCCGCGGGUAAGGCCAAAUGAGUAACUCCUAAAACAACUCGAACCCGGGGUGAUUUAGCUCGCCCAUUCUUCAUAAAAUGUGCAUAAUAAUGGUGAAUGUCAAAUCUAGGUCGAGGAAAUGUGACGUUGGGUCGAUGAUAUUGUAGUUGGCUUGAUCCGGGUGGGUCUUCUUGGCGCUCGAGUUGAUUGGUUCGAUAGUUUUUGAUUCCGUCUCGCCCAAAUGUCUUGAAAUAUGUAACUUGAUGGUGAAUAUUCAAUAUGGGUCGGGAAAAGUCUUGAUCCGGUCGGUGGAUUUGAGUUUUGUGUGCUCCGGGUGAGUCAUUGUGGACCAACUUCAAUUCGGCAUGGUGAUUUAUGAUUCCAGCUGAAUCACUACUCUUCUUAGGAUAUAUUUCUUUGUAAAUUUCCAAUCCUAGGCCAGGUGCUUGAUCAGAACUUGAUUUGCGCCAAAAUUCUCCUUUUUGGUCCGGUUUGGUUUGGUUGAGGAUUGAACCGGCUGGUCUAUUUAACUCCGGAUCUGGUUUGGUUCCGAUGUCCACAUCA
rnacentral:lncRNA from 1 species